GAUGAACGCUGGCGGCGUGCCUAAUACAUGCAAGUCGAGCGAACAGACGAUGAGCUUGCUCCUCUGACGUUAGCGGCGCACGUGUGAGUAACACGUGGAUAACCUACCUAUAAGACUGGUAUAACUUCGGGAAACCGGAGCUAAUACCGGAUAAUAUAUUGAACCGCAUGGGUCAAUAGUGAAAGACGGUGUUGCCGUCACUUAUGGAUGGAUCUGCGCCUCAUUAGCUAGUUGGUACGGUAACGGCUUACCAAGGCAAGGAGGGGUAGCCGACCUGAGAGGGUGACCGGCGACAUGGGUACUGGGGGACGGCCCAGACGGCUACUGUAGGCAGCGGGGGGGAACAUGGCAGAAUGGGCGGAAGCGUGAUGCAGCAGCGUCGCGUGCGGGAAGACGGCUUUCGGGGGAUAAACAGCUUUCGACUGAAACGAAGCGUGAUUGACGGUAAUGAGUAAAAAAGCACCGGCUAACUACGUG
rnacentral:rRNA from 1 species